rnacentral:rRNA from 1 species
GUGGGGAAUUUUGGACAAUGGGCGCAAGCCUGAUCCAGCCAUGCCGCGUGCAGGAUGAAGGCCUUCGGGUUGUAAACUGCUUUUGUACGGAACGAAAAGACCUUUUCUAAUAAAGAGGGUCCAUGACGGUACCGUAAGAAUAAGCACCGGCUAACUACGUGCCAGCAGCCGCGGUAAUACGUAGGGUGCAAGCGUUAAUCGGAAUUACUGGGCGUAAAGCGUGCGCAGGCGGUAAUGUAAGACAGAUGUGAAAUCCCCGGGCUCAACCUGGGAACUGCAUUUGUGACUGCAUUGCUGGAGUGCGGCAGAGGGGGAUGGAAUUCCGCGUGUAGCAGUGAAAUGCGUAGAUAUGCGGAGGAACACCGAUGGCGAAGGCAAUCCCCUGGGCCUGCACUGACGCUCAUGCACGAAAGCGUGGGGAGCAAACAGGAUUAGAAACCCUAGUAGUCC